GUCCUGGGAUAGCUCAUUUGGUAGAGCAUGAGACUCUUAAUCUCAGGGUUGUGGGUUCGAGACCCACACUGGGCA
rnacentral:tRNA from 1 species